rnacentral:misc_RNA from 1 species
AACGCACCUUGCGCUCCUUGGUAUUCCGAGGAGCAUGCCUGCUUGAGUGUCAUUAAAUUCUCAACUUCAUCAACUUUGUUGUUGAAGCUUGGAUGUGGGGGUUUUGCAGGUCUGCCUUAAUUGUGUGGUCUGCUCUCCUGAAAUAUAUUAGCGGGUUGGCUUCCCUCUAUCAGUGUGAUAAUUAUCUACGCUGUGGAUGGGUUUGGCUUUCAGACCAGCUUCUAAUCGUCCUUCUAGGACAAUCUCUUGACAUUUUCGACCUCAAAUCAGGUAGGACUACCCGCUGAACUUAA